AACUUUCAACAACGGAUCUCUUGGUUCUCGCAUCGAUGAAGAACGCAGCGGAAUGCGAUAAGUAAUAUGAAUUGCAGAUUUUCGUGAAUCAUCGAAUCUUUGAACGCACAUUGCGCCCUUUGGUAUUCCAAAGGGCAUGCCUGUUUGAGCGUCAUU
rnacentral:rRNA from 1 species